rnacentral:lncRNA from 1 species
AGAAGCAGAAGAAAAAGAGCAAGCCAAAGAAGGACAUUCCAAAGAAGGCUAAAGCAAACGGAAAGUGUUUCCACUAUAAUGCUAACGGCCACUGGAGGAGAAACUAUCCACUCUACUUGGAGAGCCUAAAGACCGAAAAGGGUGAUAAACCUUUAGAAGGUAUGCUCGUAAUUGAAUCUAACCUUAUGGUUUCUUCUACUUCUAGUUGGAUAUUGGACUCUAGUUCG